rnacentral:rRNA from 1 species
CAGUAGCCGCGGUAAUACGUAGGUCCCGAGCGUUGUCCGGAUUUAUUGGGCGUAAAGCGAGCGCAGGCGGUUAGAUAAGUCUGAAGUUAAAGGCUGUGGCUUAACCAUAGUACGCUUUGGAAACUGUUUAACUUGAGUGCAAGAGGGGAGAGUGGAAUUCCAUGUGUAGCGGUGAGAUGCGUAGAUAUAUGGAGGAACACCGGUGGCGAAAGCAGCUCUCUGGCUUGUAACUGACGCUGAGGCACGAAAGCGUGGGGAGCAAACAGGAUUAGAUACCCCAGUAGUCCCUGUCUCUUACACA